GACCUUAGGUGAUCCUCCUGCCUCGGCCUCCCAAAAUGCUGGGAUUACAGGCGUGAGCCACCGCGCCUGGCUCCUGCAGCACUGUUGAAGUGGCCCCACAGCCAUGAGGAGCUGAACUGCGGCAAUGGCUCCAGCCUCCCUUCUGGAAUAUUACGCAGCUGCGUCAGGCACCGGCUCUCAACCUAGAGGAACCCCAGGGAUGUGUUCUGGGAGAUGGCAAUUUGCAGAGACCUAACAGCCUGAAACCCUGUUCUUCUUGGGUGAAGACAGCCCCCCUACUCCAGACAGUGUGCACGUCUGGGAGAAGGCAUGGAGGAUGGCGAGGCUGAUGGCUGCACACCCGGAAAAGGGAGGUCAAACAUGAAAACUUGCCGCGGAAAACCUGAUCAAGCCUGGGCUGGACAGUGGGGGUCGGGAAGGGAGUGAGGGCCAUUUCCUUUGGGAUCAGAACUGUGGGGCUCUCAAGGAGCAAAGCCCUGGGAGGGAUCCCCAGCUGCGCCUCCUAGUGGAGACCCAGAGCGUACUCACCCCGAGCCAGCGCUGGCCCUUGUUGGCUCCGUGGUGCAGCUGCACCUUGCGCAGGGAGAUGGAGUAGAUGACUCCGUUGAUCAGCUCCUCACCGAUCUCCUGCGUGGAGCUCUGUGAAGACAACGCCCAGCAGCCGGGCGUGGGGACAUCAGGGGCCUGCCUGGCCACUGUGCAGGGGAUGGACCUGUGCAACCUGUUCCCCAGACAGGGCACAGACUGGUGGCUGCACAGACCUAUAGCCCGGGGUGAAAUGAGAUCACAGCUCUAUGGCCUGGGUUAAACAUCGGCACAGAGGGCCACUGUCCUGGCACUCCACUUCCCCAACCUGGCUAGCCACGACCUGGGGCACGGUCAUGAUGGGUUCACCAGGCUUCCAAUCCCCUAGUAACUGGCUCCUGUUCCUGCCCAGGACGGACCCACCCUCAAGUCAUCCCCCUCCAUAGUGGAGACUGUUAUUCAGCCAUUUCACAGAUGGGUAAAUGGAGGCUGAGAGAGGAACAACUGGUCCAAGGUCAUGCUGCCUUGGGUAAGCGGUGAGGCGGGGAUCCCAGGGCUCUGACACGGCUGACUGCAUCCAGGCGGUUAUGCCCUGAGAGAAAGUUCCCUCACCUCCCCAGGGCCAGAGGCCCAUGGGCGUCCUCACACUCACCCCUCCUCUGCCCAGCCUGGCGGGCCCUGGCUGACCCAGCAGGAGUGGGCAGCUCCUCCAGGCCCAGCUCUGGCGUGUCAGCAGCCCGGAUCUGGGGAGGUGUGGGGCACCCCCAGCGGCCACAUCCCAGCCACUUCCUUCCCCUCUGCUCAUUCAUGCCCUCGUGCCUGCUUGGGCAAUGGGAUUUCCCAGUUCCCUGACCGUCAUCACAUGAGGGGACGGGCGUGAGAGGUGACGGUGCCAGUAUCCAGGCAGACGCUGGGGUUCCACAGAGCCCUAAACCACAGGCCUGGGCUGGAACAGGAAGGGGGCCUCUGGCUCCAGGCAGUAAGGAAAGGCCCUUGUCUUAGGAGACAGACUCCCCCCACCUGGCAGGCUGGCCUAGGUCACUUAGCCACAAUUACCCCCUGCCUCACAGCCCUCUGCCACUUGCUCUGUCCAGGGAUGGAAUGAGCUUGCAGCAGGUAGAGGAGCCGGGGUUGGGGGUGGCGUAAGGACACCAACCUCAGAGGUUAGGAAGGAGUUGGGAGGUACUGGCCUGGCCCAGGGUCAUUAACCGCACAGUCAAUGCCCCAACCUAGGUGGGAGUGGAGCUCAGAGAAGGCCUGGUAGACAGUGCUGACUCAGGCCCUUCCCUCAACCCUGGCAGGAGUCAGGUAGACUGUCCAGCAUGCUGUGGACGGGACCCCAGCCUCCUGCCUCCUGCGCACCCUCGGAGGCCCGGCCCUGGGAGGCCCAGGAGCCAUCCUGGAAGUCCACUUCCUCUGACCCGAGGUCGCCCUCCCACUCUCGGCUUUGUACAACAGGAAAGUUGUGGGCACCAUGCUGGGCUCCUGACCGCCACCGCCUCUGGACAGCCAGCCAGCCCCAUUUCUUGGAAGUUAGCCGGGAACCCACAGGCACACUCACACCCACACCCCACAGACAGCCCCGCCAGGGGAGGUCCGGCCCUUCCACUGACAGGAAAACAGAGACAUACACUCAACCCCUUUCCUGACUCACACGUCUGUCCCCUGCCUAGAAGAUCGUUCCUUUGAAAAGAAAAGCAUUAGCGGUUACACUGCCCAGGGCCCCCAACCACCCUGGCCUCCUCAGGGGUCCCAGACUGCCUCCUGUGAAGGCUGUUGGCUCAGCUGGGAGUCUCUCUCUCCCCUAGGGAUUUUAGCCACAUCUGGACCAGCUGCGAAGCAGACAGUAUCCUGAGUGCCCAAGUCACCGGCAAUGGCUCUGAGGUCUCAUGCAGGACAAGCCCGCCACAGGGGACUAAACAUGAACCCUGGGGGAGCCCGGCACAGCACCCAGGUCCUGGCUGAGCACCACCCGUGCCUGCCGGACAGAGGUGUCCCCAGGCAGGCCAAUCUCCAGGAGGGGCUGAAGCCAGGUGGCCUCAGCCAUCCCUGAGCAGGUCUAGAUAGUGGCUCCUCCGUGAGCUGGCGGGCCAGCAGCUGGCCCAGCCCUGCUUGGUGUCAUAUGAUCCCUGCACCCUUCCCCCACCCCCCGGGGGCCCUCUCCUGCCAGCCGGGUGGUGGGGAGGGAUGCAGGCCCAAUGCUGAGAGCCACACAUGCUUGCGGUGAGGGAGCUGCCACCCUGUCACACGGUCAGGGAGACGCUCUAGCCCUCGUGGAGCUAGUCUGUCUUCUCUGGUCCCUUCCCGUCACAGCAGCAGCGGGCAGGGAACCGACCAUAGAGCUACGUGGAGCACAGGGGCCGUUUAAACCGCCUGCUCAGAUGGUGGAGGUGCAGGCUCCAGAGCAAACUGCCCUGGGGUCUGGGAACAAAGUGGCAGAGUAGGGCCUCUACCCUUUGCGCUGAGCCCCCCUCACAGGACAGAGAAAGCAAGGCAACAGCCCUGGCAGCUGCCCUGGGACCCUCUGGAGCAAGAAAGAAGCCAAACGCGAAACGCAUCAGAGAAGGCUGCUCAGUCUCUACAGAACCCAGGUUCCCGGGACAGUGCGGGGCCCAUGCUGCUGUGCACCCUCUCCAUCCUACAGAGGUGGGGACCCAGGCCCGAGGAGGGGAGCCGGUGGGGCGUGUGCUGGCUGAGGUGAGAGCCCAGGACUUCUCAAGUCAUGAGCUCAGACCACGAGCCCCACCAAGGGAGGUGGAAUGCAAGGACAGUGUGUCCGUGACCCUCUUGCCCUCGGGCCUGCCCUCCAGCUCUGGGUGGGUGGACCCAACCCUGAUCCCCAGGGCAUGGACAAGGCCCCAGGAUGACAGGAGGCCAGCCCUGGGUGUUGGUGGGCCAUACUCCUUCCUGAUCCUGGGCACGGCAACCCAGAGAAGUGGCCUCAGACUGGGACGACACAAGGUGCCUGCCCACCAGGAUGCUCCCUGGCCUCGGAAAGUGGCGGCUGGGAACCAGCCUGUGCUGAGUCCCCCAAAGGCCAGCCCAUCUCUCCAGAAACCCUCCCUGCAGGCCUGUGCCGUGCAGACCUCCAGGUCAGCCACAAGCCUCGGGCAUCCAGGGUCGCUGUCCACACCCAGCCCCUGACAGUCAGGCGAACACAGGGCCAGGCCCAGGAGGGGCAGCUGAGGAGGAAGGUGGGCUGGUCCCAAGGGAAUGCAGGGCAGGGCCAGCUGAAGGUCCAGCCCCAACUUUAACCAGCCACGGUGCCCGGUACGUGCAGGCACUUCCUGGGUGCAAGGCCCUUUGGACACCCAUCAUGUUUAAUCCUCCUAACACCCUGCCUGAUGGAUAAGGAAACAGCCUAGUAGGAACUCGCCCAGAUCGGGAGCCAGGAAGUGGCAGCCAGAAUGUGGAUUUGAACCCUGGCCUGUUGGGACCCACCCAGGCCUGGCGCUGCCUCUGCCACAGUCUCAAGCUUGGAGCAGAGUCCAACCCCUUGUAGCACAGAUGUGGAGGAGGGGCCAGAGACAGAAGGGAUUUUCUCAGGUCACACAGCAAGUUCGCAGGGGAGUGUGGCAGGGCCAGCUUUCCAGCACCUGCAUCUUCGAGAGGUUUGUGGACAUGCCCUGGGCAAAAGGCCUGCAAGACACCAGGCUAGGGAAGUGCCAUGCUGAAGGUGCCAGGUGAUGCACCCCAGGAGCCCAGGGCCCUUGGAAGGCUCAGGCCACUCCCCUGGCACCUAAUCAGAAAACCUCAUUGUGGCAGCUGCCACCUAGCCACUGUGCCAAGUGCUGUGCUGGCCACUCCUCAGACCUCCUGUUUCACUCGAGGGUGCUCACCACAACCCUAAGAAGAGGGCUGGCAUCACGUCCAUUUUAUCAAUGAGGAAACUGAGACUCAGGAGCACAUCUACAGCUGCCAGGGGACUGAGCUGGCAUCCCAGCACAAUUCUCUUCUCUCCAGAGCCCAGGCUCCCUGCCUCUCGGUUGAGAUGGAUAAAAGUCUCCAGGAAUGACUACAGGGGAGGCUGCCAAAGCAUGCAAGCUUCCCCACGGAGGAAGACGCCAAAACCCUCCAACGCAGGUGUCCUGCCCUGCCUGCCAAGCCACCGUUGGGCUGCCAUCCCCCUGCCUCCCCGGCCCGUGGGCAGGCAAGGUGUGCGGAACUAGAAGAACUGGGUCUGCUCAAAGCUCAGUUUGUCCUGCAUGAGGCUGCAGGCUUCAGUGUCUGCCCCUUGACAAUCAAAUGGGGACCACUGCUCUGCUGGUGCUGCGUAUCUGUGAACACAGCGAUUCUGGGCCUGCAAGGCUGGAAGUCCAACCCUGGGACUGGGUGGCCACAGCAUGGCGGUACCAUGCCAUGGGAGUCACCUGGGUGGCCAACCGGCAGCCCCUGGAAACCAGUCCUUGACUGCCUGGGCGCAGCUUCCUGAAACCGCUCCACUGGCUCCUUCCGAGCCUGCCUGCAGAGGGCCAGGGACGAAUCUCCCCGCUCUUUUUCUCACUGGCAACGCAGACAGGGCCUGCCAAUGCCCAACUUCCAGGUUAAGAAUCAGACCCCAGCCCUGCCAACAAGCAGCUUCAUAUCUCCCAGGGCCAUUCCUGAGCUUCCUGGGAAACAGGCCAGCAUGCCUGAGCAUCCCCCACCUGGAGAAGAAACAAAGACCCAGGACCAGCCAGCCUUGUCGCCCUCUUCUCCUGGGGGACCCUCCCGAGGAGUACAGCAAGAGGGGAACCUGAGGGUCCUGGGGGCUGCCCCUUCGGAGUCACCUAGGAAGCUCUCCUGGAAGACCAGUCUGCACACAUGCACGCAGGGACACACACCCACACAGGGACAGGCUCCUUGGCUCGGGUCUUCAGCGUCAAAGUGCUCAUGAGCCCUGGCGAUUAAACCAAAGACCUGCACACAGUGUGAUCAAGAGAUCAAACAGUGGGAAGACGUGGGAGGCUGAAGGGAGAUGCUCCCUGUGAAUACAGAGAGGCCCUCUCCACUCCAGCCCACCUACAACUGCCCUCAGGCCUUGGGUCAGAAUCCUGCCCCUGCCACUGACCAGCUUGGUCACUCUGCACAAUCGAAUUAGCCUCUGUUGCCUCAGUGGCUUUAUCUGUCAAAUGGGCUCUUACCAGUCUUGACCCCAAAAGGAGGUGAUGCAAAUUACUUAGCUCAGAACCUCCCCAAAACCUGCUGGCUCCUAUUAGCUGUCAUUUUAAACCUGCGGGGUCUAGUUCUGGGCUUGCUUCCUCCGGGUAGCUCUCCCCGGCGUCCUGUGGCCCAAAGCACUUUUGCCUUCCUCUGAGCCAUAAGCUUCCCUACUGCUCGGGGCAUCUGGGCUGCCUGGGCCUUCUCUGAUUCCUGACGGCUCCUGCACACAGCAGGUGCCACAGAGAACAUAGCCCAUGCUCAAAUCCCGGCUGUGGCCCUUGUUGGCUGCACGGGGGUUUAGGUCGGAGACUUCCCUUCUCUGACCCCCCAGCUUCCUAGAAGGUGGUGUUGGCACCUACUCUGUAGGGUUGGUCUAAGGCAGAUGAAGUGAGGGGGUGGCCCACAACCUGCACUUUUUGCCAGGCCAAAGCAACCGCCUGUCCAGAGAUGGGGGCACCAACCAGGUCACCUCCAGAAAGCAAGAACUGUGCAGGCCAAGCUGGGUCGGUGGUGACUUGCCUUAGAACCGAGAAGAUAAGCGGAAGCCCAGAUGUGAGAACAUCUGGCAGCCCAGAGGGAAGCACCGGGUGGAAGCUAGGUAGGGAAACAGGGGUGUGGGGGAAGGCAGAAAAACUGUCUGGUGGUUUCCAGAGGACAGGGACCAAGUGCGCAGCGUCAGCUCUGGCAGGCCACAUAGCCACCAGGAAACCAGCCCCAGGAUAGGGGGUGCUGGCAGGAGGGACAGGGACUUCCCCGCCCCCUCCCUUGGGCCCUUGGUAAAUGGUCAUUGUGUUCAGUUUCCGGCAGUGGCCUCCUCUCCUGCCAGGAUCCUGGUUUUCCUGACCCAGCCAGAAGUUUCCCCUUUGAUUUUUAAAUAGCAGCCACAGGCUGGAUCUCAGAGCCGAGGCUGGGCCAGGAGGGCCAGGGCCAGAGAGGGAAGGCAAGACCCCAGGCAGGGGUGGGGCUCAGCUCUGCCUCUCCCUUGGUUCCUCAGGGACGGAGAGAGCGAACCUGCACGGCCCCUGUGAGCGCUACGCCAGACCCUCCCAGCACACAAAGGCCGAGCUGCUGCCAGAGGUAAUGAAAGCCAGAUGAGCGCUGGGCUGCUGUCAGCCUCCCACUCCCACCCCCACCCUCCCAGGGGUCCCUCUCCAGCCGCCAAUGAGGACCAGAGCCCUGGGUAGAUGAGGGUUGAGGGAACACGUCUGGUCCGGCCAUCUGCCAAGCUCAGGAGGAAAGGGUCUCUCAGGCGUGGGGUGUUCCCCCACCAAGAGCUCUUCCCAACACUGGGCGGAGAAACAAGUCUCAUCCAGGCCCUGUCUAGGUACCAGGACACCAAGAGGCACGAGACUCAGGCUAACAAUCGCCAGCAAUCACAACACGCCACAGUCUAAAGCCAUGAAGGGACUGGAGAUGCACCAAGGCGACACGAUGCAGCACGGGGACUCAGGAGGUUCACUGUGAAGGCUGCAGCCCAGCCAGAGCUCUGAUGGGCCCUGAGCCCCUGAUCCAGGGAUGGUCUCUGUGCAGGCCCUGUACCCAGGCAGAGCAGGGCGAGGGGGGCGUCUCUGAAUUAAACCAAAGACCUGCACACAGUG